AUGCAAGUCGAACGAGGUGUGUGGAAGGUAACGGAAGCACAUUUAGUGGCGGACGGGUGAGGAAUAGAUAGGUAACGUACCCCGGACUCAGGAAUAGCGGCGGGACUUCGGUUCCUUUGCGAAAGUGCCGGUAAUACCUGAUGACAUCAUUGGAUCGCAUGGUCCGGUGAUCAAAGGUCCGCAGGUCUGGGAGCGGCCUAUCUCCUAUCAGCUUGUUGGUGGGGUAACGGCCUACCAAGGCUUCGACAGGUACCAGGCGUGAGAGCGCGAUCUGGCACAUCGGGACUGAGACACUGCCCGGACAUCUACGGAUGGCUGCAGCAACGAAUAUUCCGCAAUGGGCGAAAGCCUGACGGAGCGACGCCGCGUGUAGGAUGAAGCACUUCGGUGUGUAAACUACUGUCAGGGGUUAGGAAGAAAGUGACCAACCCCAAAGGAAGCCUCGGCUAACUCCGUGCCAGCAGCCGCGGUAAUACGGAGGAGGCAAGCGUUGUUCGGAAUUACUGGGCUUAAAGCGUGCGUAGGCGGGAUGGCAGGUGUCGUGUGAAAGCCCUCGGCUCAACCGAGGAAUUGCUCGGCAAACCGCCAUUCUUGAGGCCAGCAGGGGGACCUGAACUUUGGGUGGAGCGGUGAAAUGCGUAGAUAUCCAAGGGAACGCCGGUGGCGAAAGCGGGGUCCUGGGCUGGUUCUGACGCUGAGGCACGAAAGCGUGGGUAGCAAACAGGAUUAGAUACCCAGGUAGUCCACGCCGUAAACGAUGCGCACUAGGUAUCAGCGCCUCUGA
rnacentral:rRNA from 1 species